rnacentral:rRNA from 1 species
GAUGAACGCUGGCGGCGUGCCUAAUACAUGCAAGUCGAGCGAACAGAUGAGGAGCUUGCUCCUCUGACGUUAGCGGCGGACGGGUGAGUAACACGUGGAUAACCUACCUAUAAGACUGGGAUAACUUCGGGAAACCAGAGCUAAUACCGGAUAAUAUAUUGAACCGCAUGGUUCAAUAGUGAAAGACGGUUUUGCUGUCACUUAUAGAUGGAUCCGCGCCGCAUUAGCUAGUUGGUAAGGUAACGGCUUACCAAGGCAACGAUGCGUAGCCGACCUGAGAGGGUGAUCGGCCACACUGGAACUGAGACACGGUCCAGACUCCUACGGGAGGCAGCAGUAGGGAAUCUUCCGCAAUGGGCGAAAGCCUGACGGAGCAACGCCGCGUGAGUGAUGAAGGUCUUCGGAUCGUAAAACUCUGUUAUUAGGGAAGAACAAAUGUGUAAGUAACUAUGCACGUCUUGACGGUACCUAAUCAGAAAGCCACGGCUAACUACGUG